GUGGGGAAUUUUGCGCAAUGGGGGAAACCCUGACGCAGCAACGCCGCGUGAGUGAUGAAGGCCUUCGGGUCGUAAAGCUCUGUCAGAGGGGAAGAAAUGCAGGGGUGCUAAUAUCAUCUUUGCUUGACGGUACCCUCAAAGGAAGCACCGGCUAACUCCGUGCCAGCAGCCGCGGUAAUACGGAGGGUGCGAGCGUUGUUCGGAAUUAUUGGGCGUAAAGCGCGUGUAGGCGGUUUGGUAAGUCUGAUGUGAAAGCCCCGGGCUCAACCUGGGAAGGGCAUUGGAAACUGUCAGACUUGAAUACGGGAGAGGGUAGUGGAAUUCCUAGUGUAGGAGUGAAAUCCGUAGAUAUUAGGAGGAACACCGGUGGCGAAGGCGGCUACCUGGACCGAUAUUGACGCUGAGACGCGAAAGCGUGGGGAGCAAACAGGAUUAGAAACCCGGGUAGUCC
rnacentral:rRNA from 1 species